rnacentral:snoRNA from 1 species
GCAAUUCCCGACUCAGCUCACACUGAAGUGCUGUGCUUUACAC